rnacentral:lncRNA from 1 species
CAAACCAACUUGCCCCAGUGUGGGGUUUGCGAUUCUCAGGGGUUGCCAAACGAAAUAAUUUAUUCUGAAGGCUCAAAAGGGAUAACUAGGGAUAGAAUGUUCGAUUGGAAAAGAAAAUGGCCUGACUUGUAUUCCGUUCCUUACAUUGACUCUGAAAGGAAACAUUCAUUAAUGGGAAAAUUUUUAGCAUGUAUCUGAAUUAACUGAUUGAGGAAGACCCUUGUUCAUCCAUAUUUGCGAAACAUAGGCGGUCCGCGCGGACAAAACUCUUCCUUUUCUUUCUUCUUCUUUUUUUCAAAACUGGACCCCAAGUGGAAUCAAAUUUCCCCAAUUUGCGGUUCCCGCCUUACUCUAGCAUUUUUACUUCUCUCUUUUUUUCAAAAUUCCCCAAUCUCCUUCCCCAAUGUGGGGUGCGAUCAUAUGUGCACUCGAAAAGAACCACCAAUUUUUUAGCUCAAAUGAGGAUGCAAGGGAUGAUCAGUGUUUAGAUUGUAGAAAUGACGGCCAAAGUAUCACUCUUAUACCUCAUGACAACCGAAGUAGCGAAAUGGUCAUUGAAAAUCCAUUCUUCUUUUGAUAUUUGAAAAUUUUUCAAUGAAGGGUAGUGAUCAUUAAGACCCUUAUUUGAAACGAAAUUAUUCUUUUAGAAGCUCAAAUGGGAGAGCAAAUGAUAAAAAUCUGUAUAGGUAAUGAAACAAAUGCUUGAAGUAUCAUUCCAAAUUUCCCAAACAAAUAAGAACAAUGCACAUUUUUGCUUUCACUUAGAUGUGAUUGAACCAGAUUGGACACCUUGAACAUUUUCAAGCAAAAGUUGCCCCAAUUUACAAUUUAUCAAUCAAUGUGACUGAUUUUAUUUUGGAAUUAAGUGAAGGAGAAAGGUAUCUCAUAGGGCCUUUUGAGUGACCGUUCACUCUCUUUCUUUCUGAGCACU